GAGUUUGAACCUGGCUCAGGAUGAACGCUGGUGGCGUGCUUAACACAUGCAAGUCGAACGAAGCAUGUAAAACAAUCCUUCGGGUGCGUUUUAUAUGACUGAGCGGCGGACGGGUGAGUAACGCGUGGGGAACCUGCCGUAUGCAGGGGGACAACAGUCAGAAAUGACUGCUAAUACCGCAUAAGCACACAAUGCUGCAUGGCAUGGUGUGAAAAGAUUUAUCGGCAUACGAUGGCCCCGCGUCUGACUAGCCAGUUGGCAGGGUAAUGGCCUACCAAAGCAACGAUCAGUAGCCGGCUUGAGAGAGUGACCGGCCACAUUGGGACUGAGACACGGCCCAGGCUCCUACGGGAGGCAGCAGUGGGGAAUAUUGCACAAUGGGGGAAACCCUGAUGCAGCGACGCCGCGUGAGUGAUGAAGUAUUUCGGUAUGUAAAGCUCUAUCAGCAGGGAAGAUAAUGACGGUACCUGACUAAGAAGCUCCGGCUAAAUACGUG
rnacentral:rRNA from 1 species